rnacentral:lncRNA from 10 species
GUUUUUUUUUUUGAGAUGGUGUCUCACCCUGUUGCCCAGGCUGGAAUACAGUGGCACGAUCCUGGCUCACUGCAAUCUCCAUCUCCCGGGUUCAAGCGAUUCUCCUGCCUCAGCCUCUCAAGUAGCUGGGAUUACAGGGCUUCAGAAGCUGAUGGCAUAGUUAUGAGAGGGGUGAAGACUGCGACUGCAUUUCCAACAGACCCUGAGGACAAUUGGGAAGAAUGCGCUGAAUAUUUUUGAGCAAUUUCUAUAUGAUAAGCAGUUUUUAGGUCAGCAGGAAAACAUGUGAACAAAUGUCUCUGUAUCAUAAACAAGGUAAAGAAAAAGGUGCUGUGCUUUGAUGUGCAUAUACAUAAACAUCUCAAUGCAUUAAAGAGCAGUAUUGCCACCAGCAUGUCUCAACUCCAGUCCUAAGGUGGUUUUCUCCUGUCUCAGUAGAUGGAAUAUACCAUAGGGUUUUACACCGAGACAUUCCAUUGCUCAGGGAUGACAGGGAUGAGCAGGAGACAGAUGCCUUCCUCUUAUCUCAACUGCAAAGAGGCCUUCCUCUUUUACUAAUCCUCCUCAGCACAGACCAUUUAUGGGUGUCAGGCUGGGGGACGAUCAGGUCUUUCCCUUCCCACAAGGCCACAUUUCAGACUAUCACAUGGGGAGAAACCUCGGACAAUACCUGGCUUUCCUAGGCAGAGGUCCCUGCCGCCUUCCGUGGUGUUUUAUUUCCCUGGGUACUUGAGAUUAGGGAGUGGUGAUGACUUUUAACAGCACGCUGCCUUCAAGCAUUUGUUUAACAAAGCACAUCCUGCAUAGCCCUAAAUCCAUUAAACGUUGAGUCGACACAGCACUUGUUUCGGGGAGCACAGGGUUGGGGGUAGGGUUACAGAUAAACAGCAUCUCAAGGCAGAAGAAUUUUUCUUAGUACAGAGCAAAAUGGAGUCUCUUAUGUCUACUUCUUUCUACAUAGACACAGUAACAGUCUGACUUCUCUUUCUUUUCCCCACACACAGGCAAGGGGGAUGAGUCCAUAAGAUGACACUGGAAAAGGGGAUUGGCUUGAGUGCACCAGGGGGCCAGAGACAUGGGUCAUCCCUGGUGACGGGAGUUGGAAUGCUCCCCUGAGAUGGAGACUGGAAGUACAAGAAAGAAGAAAGUUGUUGUGAGGUCAGGAGCAUGGUGGCUGGAUAGAUCUUCAAAGUAUGAAGAGCAUUAGCUUUUGCGUCAGAUUGCCUAGGUCUUCCACCUAUUAAUUGGGUGAUUUUAGGACAAUGUCAUCAUUUGUGGCUCCCUAGAAUCAGACCUUAAGUCAAGGGUUGAGAACAAGUUAUUAAUUUAGUGUUGAUUCCAGGAAACACUGGCAGGAGAGUAGGGAACUGAGAAAGGAAAGGCACAGAAUAUAGGGUGGAUUAUUGAGCAAGUUAGCACAGUGGGAAUAGGAGCUGAAUUCUACUGAGGAGCCCUCAGAACAAAUGUAGAGCAUAUCUCCCCAGAGUUAUUCCACACAAUCCUAUCAGCUGUGGUUAAAGGUUUCUGCAGGGCGAGUUCUGGCAAUUCCAGUCUGCUCUACAGGCGGGCAGGGUGGACUCACUCAGGCAGAGUCACAGGUGUGGGUAGUUGGUUGGAAGUCUGGCUGGAGUGCAAAAGAAUGUUAAGAGAUGAAUAAAUAUGGGAAGGCACAGCUAGCACUCUUACAGAGAGUCCAUUAACAUUCCUGAGUCUGUUUCCUCAUUUUUAAAGUGGGAAUUCCAAGAACUAUUUUGGAAACGUUGAAAUGUAAGUGAAGGCAUUGGCUGGGAUCCAGGACCCCAAACACUCUGUCUUACCAUAGUAAGAGGUCUCAAUUCUGUCUUCCUAUACUCACUCUUCCUUUGGAAGUGUCCAUGGUGUAUGUUUGUGUCUAUGCACACAAACAAGGCUGAGAAAAGGAACACCCUACAACUAGAUGGAACCCUAAUCCUGUUCAGCUAAGACUAUAUAGAUCUGUGGGAAUUCUGUUGCUCAGAGAAGGCAAUCCUAACUUUGGGCAGGAGGUCUCUUUGGACCCUUUAACCAAGAGCCAUGCCAAAAUAUCAGCCCUCUGAUUCUCAAACUCUGAUACUGGGAAAAGGUAAGUCUUUUAGAGAAUUAACUAGAUAAAUGCAGUUAUAAAGUACCUAGUACAGUACCUGACAUAUAGUGUCUGCCAUAUAGUAGGUUUCUCCAAAAUGUGAAUGCAUCCUGUCUCUAUGCCUUUCUUCUCUGAUUUUCUUUAAAUACCGGGCAUAUCAUCUAUAACGCUGCUUUCCCAACUUCAGAUUAAGAUGACCAUGGGAACAGUCCCUGUGUGCAUAAGCAGUUGACAGAGGUGGAUGCUAAUUCAAUUAAUAGUAUCCAUAGGCCAGUGAGCAACCAAUGAGGGGACCUGGAGCAAAAGACACUGUCCAAGUGGGUAGAGAGUAACUAGCUAAAUCAAUGUGUCCAUCUCCCUUUUGGGCUGUAGACUGGAAAAUAUGGAGAGUGGCCAGUUAUUACGGGGUAGGAGGAGAGAGAGAGAGAGAUGAAGAGAGAAGAGGAGGCACAAAAGUAGCAGAAUAGGAGUCUGAGAGGGCAUCUGAGUCAAGAUAAGGUGAAGCUGGGGGCUAUGACGUAAGUGACACUCCUUUUCCAGGAAGCAGCAUAUACCUGCCCCCAACCCUGCCCAACAUGCCAAUGCCUACUAGUCCAAAGCCACCUGAGUCCUGGGAGCAGCAUUGCCAUGUGCGAGAGUAGUAGGGGCACUGGCAGGAAUGCACUCCAUUCGUCUCACUGGAUUAAGCAUCUACUGGUCCCAGAUCAGAUUGGCCUGUGUCAGCACCUUUGAGUGAAACACACGCCCCUCUGGCUUAUGUCACUUGCAUAUUUGACAACUCAGCUAUACUUAAGACAGCUCCCCAAAGCCUGCUCUAACCCUCACUGGAGAGCAGGCAGCUCACACUCUGGUGCUACCAUGUGUUACCUGGGCCCUGAGUUAGGAAGAGAGAUUGCCUGUGGUAUCAGAUCAUGCCAUGGGGAUUCUGAGUCCAUGCUGAGUGGGGUUUCUUUUCAGGAUUUCAUUCUGAGAAAGAAUGCAAAGGAAGAAUAUAGAAUUACACUAGCAGCAAAGCAGAAGGACAGAAGGGAAGACAGGAGUCAAGUGGGUUGUCAUAUGAUGAGGUCAGAGUGAAUAGAGCACUAACAAAACUAAGCGAGCAUCAAAUGGAUAUUUGCAAGGUCUAUGUAUGCAUGCAUUCAGAUACAUUUUAUCAUCUUUAUUUUUUAGAAUAUUAUUUCAUUAACUCUAAGUUUUGCAGCUUUUUGGGGUUUCCAAAAUGGGUUACCUCUCCUAAAAACAGUUGUACUUGAUUCAAGAUAUCAAUUAAAUGGGUACUGGAGGCAGCCAUGGCCACAGCCUCUCCUUUUGUUCCCUUUCUUUGUGAGGGCAAGUAUAGGUUGCACUGAUCCUGACCUUUUGGCCUGAGGAUGGAAGUCUUCAGUAUCUGUACAACUUUACUCCCAAGAGCUGGUGUAGAAUGAGUUCCUCUGGCCAUGGGAGGAUCGCAGAGGGGCACCUGCCACCAGCAGCCCAGCCUCAGCACUUUUCUCUUCAGCGUCUUCUUCAAGGUAUUUCCAGUUGCCCGCCCUGAACUGUUUCAGAAUGAGGAGGACACCUGGAGGAAUCUACACGUGCAUAGACCAAUUUGCAAAAGAACCUGUGAGCCAACGUAGGUUGUGAGAUGCAUAUCCCACAUCCAGUUCAGCCCAGUAACUUGGGAAAUGGGGGAGAGGUAGCUCUGAAGACCAGACUUAGUACAUUUUUACCCCCAUCCAUGCUUGCAACUGUAAGUUGAUCUUAAAUUAGUACUUUUAACCAAGUCAACCUCAAUCACUUGAAUAGGAUACCCAGCUGAAAAACUUGGGGUCACUGAAUCAAUCUCUUAUCUGUAAGAGAUAAUGAUGCCCACCCAAUGGGGUUCUGAAAAAUAUGUAAUGCCUGACAUGUAGUGUAUACUCACUGAAUGUGGCUUUUAACCACAACCUUUAUAUUUUUGCCGAGUAUCACCUUUCUGCAGCAACCGUGAGAACCUCGCGCUAAGCUUGUCUUAGAUUGCUCAUUCCUUUCCUAUAUUUAGACACCAAACUCCAUUCAUUUUCCCCUUGAAAUGUUCAUUCCCAUGAUCAAGAUUUUGCUUAAACACAUUUUGUUUUCAUGUCCAGAUUAUUACCUCAGCUGGAAGAAUUAAUAAGCAACACGUUCACCCAAGAAGUAUUUACUGAGCACCUACUAUGUGCAUUAUUUUCUGGUGUUGGGGCUAGGGGGCAAACGACUCUGACAAGUCUCUGUUCUCAAGGCUGGAGUGCAGCGGCGCGAUCUCGGCUCACUGCAAGCUCCGCCUCCCGGGUUCACGCCAUUCUCCUGCCUCAGCCUCCCGAGUAGCUGGGACUACAGGCGCCCGCAACCACGCCCGGCUAAUUUUUUGUAUUUUUAGUAGAGAUGGGGUUUCACCAUGUUAGUCAGGAUGGUCUCGAUUUCCUGACCUUGUGAUCCGCCCGCCCCCGCCUCCCAAAGUGCUGGGAUUACAGGCGUGAGCCACCGCGCCCGGCCGUAGUUUACAUUUUCUAAAGCGUACUCUGCCAGCCAAGUGGCAAACAGACUUGGGCCUCUUAAGAGUGGAAGCAGGAGGAAACCCGAAGAUCCUGGAGAGAGACUGGUGGCUGGUACCAGUGGAGAGGGAGCAAAAAGGAAAAUACAGGAUACAAUUUCAGGAAAAAUUUCAUACCAAUUUCCUGAGGUAAUUUCUGAACUCGAACAUUUUCAGUGUCACCACAUUGUGUUUCCUGCUGAAUCAAGUCUACAUCACUUCGGUUUUUAAAGCCUUCCACGAUCCUUCCCUGAACACUGUAGUUUUCACUGAUGGUUGGCUGUUUCAAACUCCCAUAUGAUCCAUACUGUAUCAUUAAUAAGCAAGCAAGGAAUAACACACCCUCUGCUAUUCUGUGCAGUGUUUCAGGUUUUUAGUUUUCUCUUUCAAGAUAGAAAAUCCCUUUAGAGUAGGAACUCGGCUGGCACUUUCUUUCACAUCCUGCAUAGCACUUAGCAAAGUUCUGUACACAGGGCACAUGUGGAAAUUGCUUAUUGAUUGAUUAAAAGCAUAUAUCACUGGCAUUUGUAUCUUCAGUAUUUCUCUUGUAUGAAGAAGGGUGAUUAUCUGUCAAUAUUCAUUGCAUCAUUGAACCAAUGUACAAUGCAUUAAUCAUCACUGAAGAUAACCAGAUGAGGCUUUAUUGUAAUCUCCUUCUAUUUUGCUGAGAUAAUUUCACUUGCUUUAGAGUUUAUGAGGCCAUAAGUGGCUCCCAUCUGUUGAUGAACAUAUUUCUAAGAGUCAUUUAGUCUCAAGUAUGGAAUACUUGAGGGGAAGUUAAAUUGUAACUUUUAUAUUAAGUGUCAUCUUAGUAACAGAACCAAAAUUGGAAGCAUGUGUUCAAUUUUGGUUUUUCAUUUUCAAAGCUUUAGGUCAGGCAAAGAAUUAAUUUCAUUUGUUUACAAAGUAGAUUAUGCCUAAUAAAAUCUAUUUUGUUUAUGGUCACAUUUUAAUCAAUCCACUGCUUUAGAAAAUGAGAGAAUUCUGAUUGGCUAAUCAUUCAACAUAGUAAAUUACAUUAUUCCACAUCCACAGAACACUGGCCUAAUUGCAUUAUCCAGUAAUGAUAAAAAUAUUCCUUUUAAUACAUUUUGAGCAAGGCAUAUACCAGUGAUGAAACAGGGAAGAAUCUUGUUUAUUCCAUCCUUGUUUGAUGAUCGACCACAGAAUAUAACAUAACACUUCUGUGUAUAAGAAUUUUUUCAACAUUAAGGAUAAUAAGGACAAGGUAGUUUUCACUGGAUCCUUACUGGUACUCUGAAUUUUCACUAUUUGUCCGCAUUUCUUCUCCUUCCCGGAAAUUUGUUUUCUGCGAAAAACAAGUGCUACUUUGUCAAAUAAAGCUUAAAUAAAAUUGGUUUCAAUUUAUGCAUAAUAAAAGGAAUGCCUAGUGACUUUCUAUCUCUAGUGGGAGGUAGAAAACUCUCCAGGGUGACUUUAUUCACUCCAGAGGUUCUGGUGAGCACCAAGGAACAUUACCUCUGCAAAAUGCAGACAUACGCAAAAGGAUGCAUCAAAUUUAAGAGAAGUCCGUAGAUAGAUAUCUGAGGGAUCUGCCUUAGGGGAUGUAGACCAUAUAUACAACACGAAUUCCACAGAAUUAGCCUGGUAUUCACGAUCACUGUUUCUUAAAACAUAACUCUUUUAUGUUACCAAGCAACUUUUAUCUGAGAUGAUGACUACUCGAAUACUUCUUUUGCAUAUCGCCAGAAAAUAUCAAGUUUUCAUUUGAGUCCUUAAUUCAAGUUCUUUAUCACAAGAAGAAAGAAUAGCAUGGAUAAAAUGGUUUAAAGGUAGCCAAAAAAAAAACAAAACAUUGUAUUUUAGAAUGCAUAUUCAAACAUAUUCCAAAAAAUACUGUAUUUUAGAAUGCAUAUUCAAACAUGAUGACAAGUGGGCUCUGUGGCUCAUAUUGACAAUAGCUUUAACCUAUGAAGUGAGUGUCUUUCUAUACGGAGGUGAUGAGUUACUCAAUACUGAACGGCUCUACUAAAUUGUGCUUUUGGCUAUUAGAACUUGGCUACUGCCUUUCGUUGCUAUGUGUUGAGAGAAAAAUCUCAAAUGAUGAUGCUAACCAUUUUGCUAAUAAAAUAUGCUAAGCUGAAACAUUUCAGUUACUCAGUUCAUCUUCUGGUACAGAUGCUAGCAAGCAGAGAAGGUUAUGAUUUGAAAAACUCAACAGAAAGGAGGAAAAAGAUGAGAAAAAGAUUGACUAGAAAAUUAUUCAUGGAAUAUAUUUCACCAGCCUAUUGGGUGUUAGCAUCUUAGGUGGUGUGGUUAAUGCUAAUUUACAUUAAAUGGUAAAUUAACUAUUUUUAUUUUUCAUAAAUGGUACAUUUUCAGUACGGAGUUUCAGUAUUCCAUAUUUUCUCACAUGGGUACAUACACAAUGACACUGUUAUUACUAACAAUAAAGAACUUGUAAGAGAGUUUUUAGAAGUAACAUGCUUUUCUAAGAAACACAAAGAAAACAUUUUAUAGUGAGUGAAAAUGAAGGUUUUUACUUCAAAUUCUCUUUUUAUUUCCAUGAUAUUUCUGCCUGGGCUCUGCCAAGGAAAACUGGCAGUGGGCAACGGAUUAUGCCAAUGUAUACUUUUUUCCCCUCUGAGUUUUUAAUCUCUUUUCAGGUGACAAAUAGUUUUCUCUUAGACCAGAUUCACUUUAUUUUUCACUUACUUAAUUAAAAAAGUAAUUUACCGCUCAACAGGGACCCUGGAGUAUAUGUAUGCUCAUCUUCAUGGUUAAAACACUUUGAAAAAAGACAUACCACAUCAUAAAAAUCUGUAUUCCAGGGUCUCAGAACAGACUGCUUCAGUAUUGGUGUCAGAAUUGGGGGAUUAAUUAGGGUGGUCAUAAGUGAGAUCAUUUAAUUAAUAGAACAGCUUCCAGAAGAGGUGGGAGUGUAGUAUAAUUGUGGAGAGAAAGGAAUUCAGAAUGAGAUACACCUGGAUUCACAUUUGAGGGCUGCCACUCAUCAGCGGAGUGCCAUUAAGGAAAGAUAUUUAAAGCAUCCCAGAAUAGUGGCUGUUGCUCACACUGUAGAUAGCAUUGGAUUGCCUUAUUUAAUCCUGGCAUGACCACUUAUGCAUGCAUGAUUUUAGACGAACUAAUUCGCCUCACUAAGAUGAAUCUUUUGAUUUGUUCCUACUUCGCAGGGUCACUGUUGUGAGGUUUAAGAGAGAUAAUUUAAUGUAAAAUUUAGCAUAAUGCCUACACACAAAAAGCUUGUCAAGCAUUUAAUAAUAAUACCGACCAUUAUUAUUACUAAUGUCGUGCUAAAUGUGGCAGGACCUGAAAAAUUACUAAAUCUGAUUUCAAGCCUGAGUUUCCACCUGUAUAAAGUGGAGAUUAAAAUCCUGGUCCUCACAGGGUUGUUGUAACAAAACAUGAGAUAUGGAGCACUGAGUGAUUAGCACAAUUAUUGAUGGCAAUUAUUCAGAAGCAUUGAGUGCUUGAAUGAGAGCUGUCUGUAUAUUUGAUUGUGAAUAGUUCUCACAGUGUUUAUUCCAACCACUAUUUUCUUCUUGGUGGUCAUGCUUUUAAAACAUCUGAAGGCCAUAUUCUCAGCUUUGCUUUGUCUUGUCAAUCUAGAUACCUUUCCACAGGUACCCUUCACAUUUUAACUUUCUUGGCUUCCAAUUAAAGAGGCAAAGCCCAGCACUUCGACAUUUACACUUAAGUAUUUUCUAGGUAGAAGCCAUCUGACCUUUAAAAAAGACAUCUUUUAUAAAUUCUUCUUUGUUAACCACCAUUAGUGUCACCACUUUUCGAUCCUUUCAGUCCUUCUUUCAGGAUUUUGAAAAAGACUCGUAAAUUGGAUAGCUUUUCUAAAAGUGCAACUCUCUCAAUUCUGAAGGUAAUCUUAAAAGGGAAUUAGGGACAUGUGGGAUCUUUACUAGCUCCAUUAGUGCCAAACUUGCAAAGAGAAACUAUCUUUAAGUCAAAAUUGUCUCCUUGAGUGCGUGGCCAUUUUGAUAAGAAUAGUGCAAGGUAAUGCAAUCCCACUUUAAAUUUAGAAGUUCUAAAGUUCACACUACACUGAAAAGUCAUCAGUGAGUGGCACUGCCAUGCUUACAUUAGAGGAAAGAAUCAGGUACUCAAGUCUUGAACCAGGCAAACCAUUUAAUGUUCUGCAGGCAAUAUGGAUAUGGACAUACAGGUAAAAAGAAGAUCUGGAUCUCCCUGCCCUUCAAUUCUUUCAUUUCCUGACUGUGUGACCAUUAUUCAUAAUGACCAUGUGCAGUCUUGGCUUGUUCCUUCUGUUUUUGGUUUAGAAUCCUUACCUGGGAGGGGAAGGAAGGAUACCUUGUUCCUGCCUUAUAAGAAUCAAUGACACAGCAGGUUUGAACAUUCCGGUGUAUAGGGAGUAGACUCUAAAUUUAGCAGCCCCUCUAGCUACUAGAAUAAGAAUUUAGUGAUCUGAAGAAUUUACAUUCUGCCAGCAGUUGAUCGAGUUCUUAUGAUAUGCAAGGCCCAACGUUGGACAUGGAAAUGAACCAAACACAAUCUCUUCCCUUUAGGGCAAUACUAGGUAGUUUCAAAAAUCAUGUUGGGAUAUAAAUGAUUAGAAUAUAGGGUAGAAAAUAUCUAUAGCAAAAGGGCAGAGAAAAUAAAAUGGGGUCAUGGAAGAGAGUGAGAUUAUUCUUGGCUAUGUGAUAAAGGAAAGCUUCAUGGAGAAGGUAGUAUUUGAGUUAGGUCUUAUAUGAGUAAAUUUUGUACAUGAAGAGAAGGGGAUUAGUACGUUGAUGAAAUAGUUUUAUAAAGAACCAACAGUUUUAUAUAAAGGAGUAGAAUGGGAAAUAAGUCUAGGAAGGUGGGGAGAAUCCUCUCCAAAGGAGUACAAGAUCCCAAGGCUUUGUAUUUCAUACUCCAAGGUUAGAAACGUAUUGUAUGGCUUUCCAUCAGAAUCACAUAUUGAGUUUUUGAAAUUGCAAAUGUCUGAGCAGGAUCAUUCCCAACAUUUGUGGGGCCUAGAGCAAGAGCAUGAAUGGAGGUCCACAUACUAUAUGUCGAACUAUUUCAAAGUGUUAAAGGAAGCUGCACCCAAGACCUGGUCCUUGUUCCCAUCCAAGGGACUGCUUUGGGACUAGGAGGCUUAAGAAGCCCUGCUGUCCCUCAAGGCCAUCCUGCACUAGAGGCCUGAUUCAUUGCUUGGAACUUCACGGGGGAAACAGGACGGACCCUGGACUUAGCCUGGGGACUCGUGGGCAGGGCCUGCAUCUGCCCCCAUCAAGGAUGGAAAUGACUCAGUCCAGGUCUUCUGGUUACUGAAGGAAAAGGUUCUCCUACCUCAUGUUUUACUUUUCUGAUUCCAGAUUACCAGGAGGUUCUAAGCACCAGGUGAAACUAUACUCACCCACUCCAUACCCCCUCCCCAAGCAGAGGGGAAGGUAGAAGUACAGUUACCUGGGGAACACAGUCUGCCUAUAUAUCCUCCCACUUCAGGGGCUACUGGGUGGCUAUCCAGAAACUAAAGCAUCCCUUCUUUCUUUGAUUUCACAGGGCCCACACAGCCUGACCUCUCUCAAUAAGGGGAUUUCACUCUUUUUUUGGUCUAUCCCAUUUGCCCAGAUGACCCAGUUCAGCUGCUAUGUUCCUUUCCAUGUUUUGUGUGCUCUCAAUUGGUCAUGAAACUUUAAAACAUGAGACUCAGAAAAAAAAACCUGUCUUUGCAUGACUGUGUUUGUGAUGCUUGGAGACUCCUAAAGCCUGUGACCUUUCUUGGUCUCGUCUGAGGGUUGUGCUGUGUCUUAACCCAAGUCUAGAGCUACUGACCCAGAAUGUCUUGGGGUUAGGAUUGGAGAUGGGGUCUCAGGAUCUGUGUUAACAAGUUUCAGGGGUGACUAUAAUGCCCAGUCAGGGUUAAAAUCACUGUUAACAAUAGGGGAGGUUUUUCUACUUAGUUUUUAUUUCUCAGCAAGAUGAUAUUUUAAAAAGCAAACUGCAGGAGAAUGGAAGAUGAAUAGAAAGGUGGUGAGGCUAACAGGAGAGCCUCAGGAAAUCACCGAGCAAAUGAGACAAGGGCCUGGAUGAAGCAGGGGUUAUGGGUGGAGGUGAGAAGCUGGUUGGGAGAGGUCAACAGGAGAUCCCAUCAGAAGUGCCCAGUGCUCAGAGGGAGUGAUGGAGUCGAGGAUGACUCUGAGGUUUCCGGCUUGUUAUGGGUCAUAUUAUGUCCCCCAAACAGAUAUGUUGAAGUCCUAACUCCUAGUACCUAAGAAUACAACCUUGUUUGAUAAUAGGGUCUUUGCAACUGCAAUUAAGUUAAGAGAAGGUCAUUGAGGGAAAGCCCUAAGCCAAGAUGGCUGGGAUCCUUAUAAGAAGGGGAGGGACACAAAGGGAGGGCAGCCAUGUGUCCACAGGGGCAGAGAGUGGAGUGAUGUGGCUGUAAGCCAAGGAAUGUCAAGGAUUGCUGGCAAGCACUAGAAGCUAAAAAGAGCAAGGAAGGAUCCUUCCCUACAGGUUUCAGAGAGACUAUGGCCCUGCUGACCCCGUAUUUUGUAUGUGAGACAAUACAUUUCUGUUGUUUUAAGGCACCUGUUCAUGGUACUUUGUUUUGGCAGCCCUAGGGACCGAAUACAGAGCUGUAAUGGCCUGCACUGGUGUUGCCUCUCUCUGCACUGGGUCAUCAGUGAGGGCAAGCGUUUCUCGUAGACAGCACCUGUCUAUGAAUGUUCUCCACAGCAUAGACAUCCUCUGCACCAGAAACAGAGCCUCAUAUUCGGUGUUCCUCUUUGUUAUCUAGCUGCACAAACACAAGGUAUUAAUUCACUAAGGGUUUCAAUUAUCUGCUAUAUAAAAAGGCAUAAACAUAAAAGGUUUUAAUUGUCUUUUAUAUAAUAAGGCAGUUUCCAAAAAUUAAAUUAGGAUUUUUACAUUUAGUUUUCCCAUUCUCAUGCUGACCAUAUUUUAAUUUGAUUUCGAAAGCAUUUUUGGUAAUAUUUUAAAGUAUUAUCUUUCAUCUAGUAUCAUAAAAAUUAUUUAGAAAACCUAUAGAAGAUUUCAUCUCUACAAGUAACAUUUUUCAGAUAGGAAAUGAUUGCAGCAUUGAACUGCCAAAGAGACAGCUGAAAAAAAAAAUGGGUCAUGCAUUCAUCCCAUUCUAGAACAGAGGCUGCCAAGCAGUUCACUGCUCAUUUUUGUCCUGUUCUCGUAAACAAGCUGCGUUAACAAGUUACUUUUAAAAAGCAUACUAAUUUCCCCAGUGAAUUGCACAGGAAAGAAUCCAGCGUUCCCUCCAGAGGACUCAAAUAGUUGUUUGUUCUCAGAGCUCAGGUGUGGUAAAAUAGCCGUGGGCUAAAAGCACAGGCUGGAUAUUGGCCAGCAGGCUAGAGCUUCCCCUCCACUCCUGAUUUCUCACGUUGGUGAGAAACUCAUAGCCUGCCUGAUGUGGGGGGGAGAAAAGACUCGAUUUUCAAUUUCAAUUUAAUUACACAAUCCAUAGUGCCUAAUGGGAAGGAUUUAGCGGCAAGAUUAAUGCUCAGCAGCGCUCCAUUUUGCCUUUUUUUUUUGAUAAAAAAUACUGUAUGGAUUAUCUAAAGUGGGUUUUCAAAAAUGUUUUUCAAGAGCCAAAUUAUUUUGGUGGCAUAGUGAUUUGAAAAAGAAGGUGACUUUAUUUCUUGACUCUCUGCCAGAGUUUAUAUAAAUUAGAGGUAUAAGAUACCUUUUUGAAUUGUAUUGCCAGUGUAUCAUUCUUGAGAGUGGGGAGCACUUCUUUACUUGGGAGAAGAAUGAAUAGAAAUUUCACUGUAGGAUUAGAAAUAUAAGCAAUGAUUGAAGGAGACGACGAUCUGUUCUGAGAAUGACUGUAAAAUUAAAAUAUUAAGACCUUUCCCUCUUCAGUUAAAUCCUAAAGAAUUUCACUCUCUUAUUGAGACUGAAAACCAUUAUAAUUUUAUAUGGCAUCAGAUCAAUAUUUAAGAUUAUGAGUAAAUAUUUGGCAUUCUAUUUUGGUGUCUACAUAUUUUGUUAGUUUUGCUAAACGUAAAAAGAAGCUAAAAUAGGAAAUGGAAAUCUACCC